CCUACGUGAGGCUGCAGUGCGGAAUAUUGGUCAAUGGGCGCGAGCCUGAACCAGCCAAGUAGCGUGAAUGAUGACUGCCCUACGGGUUGUAAACUUCUUUUAUAAAGGAAUAAAGUGAGGCACGUGUGCCUUUUUGUAUGUACUUUAUGAAUAAGGAUAGGCUAACUCCGUGCCAGCAGCCGCGGUAAUACGGAGGAUCCGAGCGUUAUCCGGAUUUAUUGGGUUUAAAGGGAGCGUAGAUGGGUUGUUAAGUCAGUUGUGAAAGUUUGCGGCUCAACCGUAAAAUUGCAAUUGAUACUGGCAGUCUUGAGUACAGUUGAGGUAGGCGGAAUUCGUGGUGUAGCGGUGAAAUGCUUAGAUAUGACGAAGAACUCCGAUUGCGAAGGCAGCUUACUAAACUGCCACUGACAUUGAUGCUCGAAAGUGUGGGUAUCAAACAGGAUUAGAUACCCGAGUAGUC
rnacentral:rRNA from 1 species